GGCGUGAUCCUCUCAUCAUUUUGUCUUUUGACGUGUAGUAGGAGAGGAGCCCGGCGUUGUAGUCCAGCACGAACCAGCGGUACUGCCAGCCCUUCAUUACAUUGGUCCAUUUGCUCAGCGGGCCCUCCAUGAUAGACGCCAUCUUAGGCACCGAACCGGCACCGCCGCGCGCACCGCCCGUGCGGCGAGGGGAGCAGGGAGAGACACACGGCGGCGGC
rnacentral:lncRNA from 1 species